UUAGAAAUUACAGUUUCCCUAUUUCCGACUGUUUGUUUUUAAUUUUGGGUUAUAAAAAUUAAAAACCCGCGAAAAAAUUGAGCCCCCGUUAUUUAUAUACAAAUACUCUACUGAUUCACGGAAGACCUGUUAAGUGCCAAAUUACCCCCAUUCAUCCUUGAUGGUUAUGUAAAUAUCCAAAGUAUUGUUUUUAUAAAUGUUUUUGAACUGAAAAGUUCAUAAUAAAGUGUUUAAC